UAGUCAGUUAGUUGUCAGUUAGAGGGCAGUUCUGCAGUUCUAAUGUCAGUUAGAGGGCAGUUCUAAAGGGCAGUUCUGCAGUCAGUAUGCAGUUGAAAGGCAGUUCUGAAGACAGUUAGUCAUCAAUUAGAAGAGCUCUUUUCAUUUACGUUUCAUUAAAGAUUCUAAUUACAAGGGGAAGAAAACACAAUGCAAAUUGAAAAAAGAAGCAGAAAAGAAGUACAGAUGUUCAAGUAAAAAUGCAAAGACUCAUUAUGAUACAAAGGCCGUGUCCUGAAAUCAUUGAUUUUGUGGCGUUGUGAACAGGAAAGAUAAAAUAGCAGGCACAGAAAAAUAGCGAAGAGAAAAGAUGUGAAAUAAGUAUUAAAUCAAACAAGGAAGACCCGGAUUUCGGUAAACGAUGUAUGUUUCAAACAAUAUAUUAUUAAAUUAAAAGUAUUACUGAUGGCUCAA